UUUUUUUUUUGUUUUUUUUCAAAAAAUGAAAAACAUUGAAAUUUUAAAUUUUAACAUAUCCAACACAAUCAUAACAUAAACAUUCUAACUAGAAUCAAAGACAAUGAAAAUAAACAUUUAAAGUUGAACUAAAAUCAUCAAUCAAGUCUUUCAAAGUCCAAACUAACAACCUCACAACACAAAAUCACACAAAAAUCGUACAAAUGACUUAAAAAAGUAAAAUUGUAUGAUGUUGUUCAAAGAUCAGUUGUUUGCUUGUAACUGCAUGUUGACAACUUGAUUAGUAAAGGUAAUGCGUGGGUGGAUUUAUUUAGUGUGUGUUGGAUUCUUUUCCAUCACAAAUUACCCAAGUAAUCUACCCGAAAUAAAUGUUUAUGGAUUAUGUUACAUGUUAUAUGAGAGUAGAUUUGGAAAAGAAAGCUGGCGCAGAAGUAGACACUGCUAUGGAGAUGGAUGUAGGUACUUCGGGAAGAGGUUUGGUUCCGGAACCUUAUAUGGGGGAGAAAUAAUAGGUUAGGGUUUAGAGUUUUUAUAGGCAUUUUUUUAAUAUUUUGAGCUUAAAGUUUGGCAACACAUUGGGUUAGCACAUUUUAACUUACAAAUUGGGUUUAGAAAAUAAUACCCAAAACAAAUAAUUAAAUAAAAAAAUUAAUUUAAUUAAUUCGGUUCGGUUCGGUUUGAUUCGGUUUCUAAAUCACUAAAACCGAACCAAACCAAAAGAAUUCGGUUCGGUUCGGUUUUUUCAAUUCGGUUCGGUUUUUUCGUUCGGUUCGGUUUUUUCGUUCGGUUCGGUUUUUUCGGUUUCGGUUAGGUUUGGUUUUCGGUUUUCGGUUUUCGGUUUUUUGAACCCACCCCUACUUUUGGCUAAGUGUUCUUCCUUCAUUAUCUUGUUCUUUAUGUACCGCCAUAGUUACUUCCUCUCUAAGAAAGUGGUGUAAAAUCUUCUUAUUGUUUGGAUCAAUGUGCGAAGGGACUUGGACCUUCGAAGGAAAGGUACUACUAGACUAAUAGCCAGUGGGUGAUGUAAAUUAUUUUUAUAAUGAAUAAGAUCCCUCUCGGGCAUAAAUGAAAGACAACAAUGGAGUUUCUUCAGCAUUCAUAGCGGACUUCAGAUAAUUGUAUCAUUACGUUAAAAAGGAAAGAUAGUAAUAAGUUGCUUCUGCAUUUUCCAUAGCGGGCCCUUCCGACAAACUAUUAGCUUAUUGGUCAAGAGUCCUUCAGAUAAUUGUGCCGUUACGUAAAAAGAGAGCAAUGAAUUGCUCACGCAUUUGGCGCAGUCGACGUCUCUGAAAGGCUAUUAUCUUAUUGCUAAGUGUCUCUCAAAUAAUUGUCUUGUUGUUAUUGACCUAUGAGGGCUCUCGGCCACAUAGAUAGCUCAACGUGUCAUCAACGCUCAACCUUGAGAUGUGGAUCGUCCAAGCCGCAUUAGGUUAUAAAAAAAAUAAAAAAAAAUUAAGUGCAACAUAGCUAAAAUAAUGGUUGGUUCCUUUUGACAUGUAUAAUAAAGCAGAAGUGAUUUUCGCACUCUUUUUCUCAUUGUGCACAUCCGUGUUUAGUUUUAACUUCUAGAUUGAAUCUAUCAAAAGAGAAUUAACAGACAGAAACAAAUAGAGGUGCGCUAAGGAUGAAAAUAAGUGUGCAGAGAAAUUUUUUUGAAGUGAAUGUGAACAAAAAAUGAAGUGACUUACUUAAAAAUGAAAAUAAACUUUUUUUUAACACGUAUCAAGAUUGUGAUUUACCUAUAAUGAUAAAAGAAAAACAUCUUGUUACAUGUAAGAGUAAGGUAUUUUCUUCUUAAAUAUAUGUCUACCAAGUACCAACCAACACUAAAUGAGCAAAACAAAGGAAGCUGGAAAACUGGAAAAGCAAGGCAUGCCUUUCAAACCAAAGGUCAGAUCAUAUUCAUUUAGUAGCACUACAAGUGCAGUCUGGCAUUAAAUCCUUGGGAGUAGUAACGAAGGAGAAGGUAAAGACAAUUAAUUCACAUGAAACUAACUGGUGUAAUGGAGCAACGGGUGAAUAUGGUCUUUCUCUUUAACUCACUGUAUCCUGAGUUCAAACUUUCCCGCUCUUUACAGUAUAGCUUAGAAUAAUAUUAUCGUUGGCAAUAAAAUGCAAAAAAAAGAAAAGAAAAAAAGGACUGGAGUAAUGGCAUAGCUUUCCACGUUUCCCUUCAUGCAGUAGAAAUUAAAGACAAACCUGCUGGCCUUGGCCUCUUCUGUGCCUUCCUCAUGUAACCUCCAAUUCUGUGCUAGCUAGCUAGACAUCACCACAGAAGAGCUACCUUUUAUACCCGUUGGGUUUUAUUGCGUUUCUGCAUUUGCUUUUGCUUUGCCUUCUCUCUUCUGAAAAGAAGAAGGGAAAAAUGGUUGGUUUUGGCUGUGGUGGUGAUGAUGAACAGGAUUUUCAAGGAUCUUCACCGACUCCUACCGUCACGCAUAGCAGUGAUAGCGUUGUUGUGGAGGGUGAGGAGGCGGCAGCAGUGGCGGAGGAGGAGGAGGAGGUUGAUCGCGAAACGUGUGAUCUUCAGCUGCCUCAAGACCGAGUUCUGGCUGCGAAGCUCAGACCCCGCCUUCGAUGGACUCCUGAGCUUCAUGCCUGCUUUGUUGAUGCUGUCAAUCAGCUUGGAGGCCUUCAUAGUGAGUACCCUUCUCCUUCUUCCUUGGCUUUGAGAUUUUUCGCAUGUUUUCGGAUUUCGGUUAUCUGAUUUUAUCACGCGUUUCAUCUUGCAGAGGCAACUCCGAAGAAAAUCCAGGAGGCAAUGGGUGUCCAGGGGAUAACUCUUUUCCACUUGAAGAGCCACCUCCAGGUCUGUUUCAUCAAUGCAUGAUUCAUUGAUGGUUGAGGAAAAAUUCUCGAAAAAUAUUCACAUACAAAACCGGUUACAAACUCUUAAUAAAAAAAAUAGAAUUAGAUGAGCAUUAAACUAAGACAUAUGUAAGCAAAUGGCACUUUACGAGACUAGCAGAAAGCAAUCAUGCCUAUGCACCCUAGUGCAAGUUCAACCCCUCCGGAUCCCCUUCCCCUACCAACUAACAAUUUGACCAACAAAUGCUAUCAUUUGUGCAGAAAAAAAAAACACAAUAUGACAUGUAAAUUGACAAAGAAAACCCACAAAUUUCUCCCAAAUAUGGCCUCAAAUUUAUAGUGUUUUAGUGGCAGAUUAGAUUGAAAAGUUUUCACUAGUUUAUUAAAAAAAAAUAAUACAUUAAGGUACUGAAUUAGGAAGGCCUCAUUGCACUUUCGCCCUUGGCCUCAUUGCAUUUUCGCCCUUGGCCUCAUUGCAUGUUCGUCUUACGCUUCAGUUUGCACUGAAACAGUUUUGUUAGUGUUCCUCGUAUGUAAAAGUUUGUAACCAGUUUUGUUUGCGUAUAUUUACCGAAGUUCUAUUGUUAAGUGCUAAUAGUACCAUAUAACUUUUCAAAUUUCACUCAAAGUUAUUGACGUGGUAAUCAUUUUUGCAGAAAUACAGACUUGGAAGGCACGGGGUGAAGGAAUGGAGGGAGGGGACUCAAACCUGUAUGUUCUUUUGCAAAAACUUGCUGCAGUAAAAAUAUACCAGUAACAACGUCCUUUACUAAACAGUUGAUAUAGUGAUGAAAUUAACUUGCGAGUUGUGAAAGAAGUUUCAUGUUUGAGUUGCUACAUUUAGAUUUUCACUGCCACUAAAUAAAAGAGAACUCAGUUUCACAGGACUCGGAAGAAGGCCGAAGCACCAGUAGUACUUCCUCUCCCUCGCCCAAGCUAUCCCGGAAAAAGUAUGAUUUGCACUGCUCCUCAAUCUUCUAUAUGAAUGUACUUGUUAACUUAUUCCAAAAGGUAGUUGUUUUCGCACUCUCAAUUUUAGCUUAUGCAUUUCUGUCGCUUGAUUCUCCUUUGAUUAUCCAAUCCGAAAGGUGGAAACAAGAGGAUGAGUGCGGAAAUAGAAAAUGAGAGUGCGGAAAAUCAUUACCCUCUUCAGAAAUUACCAUUACAAAGGUUGCGUUUUCAAGUGCAUUAUCUUGUAAAUGCUGUGAUGUUUUAUGUUUUGGGUUGUGGCUCCAUGCAUAGGCACUCUUAUAAACUAGUGAAGGAAGCUCUAGAUGAAGAAAGAGAUAGUAUGCAAGUUGAGGCAAGUUUUCGAGUUCGGAAACUAAUUUGGGAACUUUAAGUUGAUAAAUGUAAACCUACUUCUCUAUUCAUGAUACACAACUUUGCAGGUUGGGAGGCGAUUGCAUAUCCGUCAGGAUGCUGAGCGGAGAUUCAUGAAUUUCGCGAUGGAGAAUGCAUGUAAGAAGCUUGCUGAUCAGUUUAUUGGUGCUGCGACAGCCGCAGCCAUACUUAACGGCAUUGCAGGUGUAGGAACUUUGGAACUAUACCCUGCAUAUCAGAUGACAGAGGGAACGGGUAUGCAGCCUAGUCUUGAAGGCCACACGACCUCUCACGGGCAUUCGGAGAAUUCAUCUGUCGAAGAUUUCCAUACUCGUGCCGAAGAUGACGAGAAAACGGAGGAGAGCUUGGACAAUGACCCUGCAGAAGCUUACCUGAUCAACCCGGAUCCAGAUAUGGAGUGAUAUGGCACUCUGGAUGAAGGAACAAAAUCACCCUUGUGUUGUUUCCUUGUGGAGUUUCAUAAGUUAAGAUUUACCCUUUGCCUUUUGGUGUAAAAUUUUGCCAGCCUAUGUUUGCUGAAUUGGCAAGUUUCACUUACCAAUGAACAGUAAAACAGUAAGAAUUUUGAGUAAUUAAACGUCUGUUUGAUAACCAAUUCAGUUUUCGAGAAAACUAAAAACUGAAACAUGUUCAGAUAACCAAUUCAGUUUUUGAGAAAACUAAAAACUGAAACAUGUUCAGGUAAUCGUACUCCUUUUUCAAUUUUCUGAAAACUAAAAAUAAAUGAUUCUCAAACGCUCCUAAGCUUCAGCUUAAACAAAGUUAAACAGUUUAACUGAACUGAAUCCUAUGUAUCGACUUACCAGCAAAAAAAAUCAAGCUUUUGAGAAUUAAAAGAAUUAUCCAAUUUACCUUUCCUUUCAAAUACGAAAUAGAAGAGAAUACAAGGAUUGAAGGUCCACGAAUUACAAUUUCUAACACAAACAAUAUGAUAUAAAGUAAAAGCGCAACACUAGUGAAGCAGUAAAGCAAAAUGGGGAUGAGGGGUAAACGGAGAACUGCCGCUGGUGACGUCGCAAACGAGGACAGCACGCAGAAAACAAAGGUCUUCAUGCACUAUCAUCGGAGAGCCGCAAGAGAUACCGCAACACCAUCAGCUUUCGGAUGCAACCAAGUGUAAAGGCUAAAAUGAUUUAACAAAAGCACUUCUUCCUCCUACAUAUAGCAGCCUCACAUUUCCCAACUGUUUGAAUACAAUGCCAGCCAACACUUUUCUAGUCGAUCUUUACGGAUGAGAAGAGGUAAUGAACAAAGUAGAAAGACAUGAGAAAGCCAAUGGUGCCAGUUGACAACAUGAUUGCAGUUGCCAUGAUCAAUGAAUAACCGAGGUAAAGGAUAGCCGACACAGGCCCGCUCAAACUCUGCAGGUCAAAUACCAGGUAAUUGAUGGAGUACAGGAACACGUAAAGGGAAACUGAACCUGAGGCAAAGAAAGCCUUCCACCACCACCUCCAAUCCUCCACACAAAGAUGCAUGUAUGUGAGAACUACUGAAACUUCAGCACAAACAAUAACCAACAACAUAAGCACUAUAAAAAGGAAACCGAAGACAUAAUAAAAUCUUCCAAGCCAGAUGCUAGAAAGGAUGAAGAAGAGUUCAAUGAAAAGGGUUCCAAACGGAAGUGUCCCAGCACCAAGAACAAGAAGCCAUGAUGGAUAUUUGCGCGCAGGAAUCUCCCUUGGAAUCUGGUUGGUUCUCACGGGAUAUGAAAUUGGCUCAGCUCGUGCGCCUAAGAAUCCUCCGAGAAGGGUGAGAGGAACGGAAAUGCAGAACCAGAGGGAGAUGAGUAUAAAAUACAAAGAAAUGGGAAGAGCACCAGUACUCUUGCUGCCCCAUAGAAUGAAAUUCAGUAUUGUAAGAAUCACAAAGACGAUUCCAGGAAAGAAACAUGCCACAAACCAGGAAACCGAUCUCCACCCUUCAGAAGUUCCCUUUAUGGUUCUCCACAUACGGACAGCAACAUAACCAGCAAUAAUCCCAAGGAAGAGAUAUAGAAUGAUCAUUCCUGUCAGUAGCAUUCCUCGUGAAGCUGGUGACAUGAAACCAAAUGCUGCAAAGAUGAUAGUGACAACUGCCAUCCCAGUAAUCUGAACUCCAUCCCCAACCAUCACGCAAAGAAGCUUUGGAGAAUCUGGUUCUCUGAACACAUCUCCCACAACAAGCUUCCACCCAGAGAGCUCCUCAUUCAUCUGAGCUUGAGAUUCUUUGUCGAGUUCUUCGUAUCUUGUUAAAUCCCUCCUCACCGUCCUUAGGAAUAUGACAAAAACUAUACCAGCUAGGAAAAAGAUCACCAUUAAUGAAUUCAGAAUAGAGAACCAGUGCACACGAGCACCCUCCAUCUUCAGAUAAGCAUCCCACCUUGAUGGCCAUCUUGUAUCACUUUUCACAAACUCAACCUCAUAAGUAAAUGAUACUUUCUCUUGCUGCCUUAUUAUUUGAGCCUUUUCGAGCUCUGCGGGGCAACUUACAGGUUUGAUAUUUUCAUACAUAGCUUUUUUCUUCAUGGCCUCUGGGUCGUAUUUAAUGCUACAAGGGUAAACCUCAAAGCCAACAAUCUCAAACCCAGAUGCCUUCUUCUUAUCAGCUUCCGAAAUGACACCCAUGCCUUCUUCCCCAGUCCCAAUUAUCUGCACACCACUCCCUUCAUACUCGUGAAUCAUAACCCUGAACUUGAGGUGAUUGAUGAUGUAAUCUUCUUUACUGUUAGGUGAUGUGUACCCAACAGGAAACCCAGUCCACUGAAUCUUAACCCCAUUUUGAUAAGCAUAUCUCAUUGCGGGCAAAUUAUCAAGGAUCAUAUUUACCUGAUACAGAUCACGGGUUCUCUGUUUCAGCAGCUUUACGUCGUGCUCGGUCAAAGAAUCUGUGGUACACAGGUAACGAGUCUCAUUCACGUUCAUGUUAAAGCGGUAUGCAGAGUUCUCGAUCUCAUCUCCCAUAAGAAGUUCCCCGAGAUUCUCAGCACUUUUCUUGAUGCCUUCAGGGGGUUUGCAAUAAGGGAGACUGUAGUAGCUGAAGGGCAGCUCAGUCUCUAUAGAAGUCAAGGAGUUAACUUUUGUAGUGAUUUCUUGCCCCUUCGCAUAUGUAUGCAUGUAGCUUCCGGGGAGAUAAAACCCAUUACAGGUGUGCACAAAAACAACCAAAACGAGCAGAGCCCAUUUGAUUGAGAGCAUUCCCGGAUUCAAUAUCGCCAUCAGAACCCAAAAAAACACAACACUCACCACAAGUUGGAGUGAGCAGUGGAUCUAAGCUAAGUCUUACAGAUGCAUUCACCGAUUAAUCUACACAAAUUCAAACAAAAAGAAUAUUAAUAUCAGCCAAAAGAACACAACGACUAUAAGUUUAAGCUAAAAACACAAAAUUAAACCUUUGGGUUAACAAAAUCGAUCAAGUACUUGUUAAUUGUUCAAUUUCUACACUCAAACCGCAUCAGAUCCGCUAAUUAACAGAGCAUAACCAUUCAAAUACUCACUCAAUCAGAUCUAACAACCAGUAAUAUAAUAAAAAACGAAUACCCAGAUCCAAAAAAUUUAAAUUACAAUAAAAAUCAAAUCAUGCGUUACGCAAAUGCAACAGAUCCAUGAAAAAUUUGAGAAAUUGAGAACGAACCGUGACAGAUCUGGAACCGACACGGAUGAGCGGCCGUGGUGCGCGAGAGCGAAGCAGAAUCCCGGCGUCCCCUUUCGCUUAAUAUUAUUCUGCUGACAUUAUCGCGAACAAGCUCAGAGGGGGUGAGGUGAGGGAACUAACUGCUUUGUUAAAAAAAAAUUGGUGCGAUUGGAGAUGGGGAAUUUGUUCUCUACGCACUCAAGUCAUACGGUUAUAUAGGGCCCCAUCCCACUGUUGAAACAAAGUUCGAUUGGACCUUGCAUUGGAUGGGCGGUUUUCAUUUGUUUUUCCUUCCUACAAACUUACAAUGUUACAGAUAAAACUGAUUUUUGAAAAUAUGUACAAAUAAAUCGUAUUUGCCGAGUCUGAUAGCGUGUGUUUGUAACUAAGUAGUACAUUAAAGUGAUUGAUUACAUGAUGAAUGAGUAAAGUUGGUGAGUAAUUUAUUAUCAUGUUGACAUCAAAUUAAGUUCGUUGUAAGCCCUCAAGUUAGUCGAGGGCAUAUGUCGACUGGUAAAUAGUAAAUCACCUUGUGAAAUCACAAAUAGAUCAUAGGACAAUUAGCAUGAAGGAACAUUUUUUGAUAUUUGGAUUUGGUUGCAGAAAUCAAUUGUCGUCACGUCAUUAUUGUGUGGUCGUUAGAUUAUCAAUAUGUCGUCGUUAUUAAAAACUGAUCAUUUCUGUAAUCAAAUGUUAAAAAGUGAUCAUUCUUGCUAAUUGCCCUAGAUCAUAAUUAGAUUUGACAUAUCACUUAAACAACAAAACUUCUCAAUAUGUUAUUUCAAAUUGAAAUUUGAUGUUUGGAUUUUGGAUUUUGACAUAUAUCUCUUUGAAAAUCGCUCUUUGAUAAAAAAAAAUUAAAAAAAAUUAAAAAAAACAAAUAUAAUUAGUUAUUGACAUUUUACCAAAAAUUUAUGCACUGACUAUAAGUAACGACAUUCUCUAUUCAAGAGUAAAACCUUCUAUGCGUAUGAGAAUUAUUUUUUCAGCAAGCUGCAAUUACAUCGAUGAUAUAUACACAAGUGGUUUAGCUACUUUCAACUCUUUAGUAUCUUGUUAACCAUCAUCAAAAUUGUACAUUGUGUACUCACUUUUCAUCUGACUUAAACAACUCAGCAACUAACCGUCUUGUCUUAUACCUAACUAAAGGUUACUUAUCUCGCCCAAGAAAUGGCAACAAUUGAGAUUAAAAUAGUGAACGGAUGUGUAACGCGUGAGAAUCUGCACAGAUAAACUGAUUGUGAUUUGAGAACCUUUCCGUUUGAUCAUUAUUAUGCUUUAUGGUAACGAAACUGCAUUGUUAUCAUCAUUAUUAUGUGUUUUGUUGGUUAGCAAUUUUGUAAGUAAAAUCCUCAUCAAGGUUUGUGGCUGUAAAACUUCAACCUUUAUCAUUAUGGUGGUGAUUAUAUAGCAAUAUUUUCAAUAACGUUGCAAUCACUGUAUUUGGUAGGAAUGUAUAAACAUGGAUCUACUUUUUUCUACAUCCGAAACACAUUUGGAAGUAAAGGUUAGAAACUUAAGCUUCAAGCCAAGAUGUGUCAAAUACAAUCUUUAUGUCCUUUCUAAUACUAUCUUUAGCUAAUUCACGAUACCAACUGUGUUUUUGUCUUGAUCUCGACCAGUUUCAUGAAAAACAAGCUCGCAUUUACCUCAUAAGAAUGAAUUAUAUAAAACGAAUUUACCAUUACAUAACGUCUUUUCCAAUAAUACAAUGUCAUUUUAAAAAAUUGACACAUGUAAUUAAUUUUUAUUAGAACAAGACAUCACGGUGGCGAUGAAUCCGUUCCGCGUAAGUUGUUCUUCAAGCUCAAUUGUAGAUAGCAAGGCUCUUAACCUUGUAGUAGUGGGUUUGUGCUAUCCGGUAGCAGUUUUGGUUACUUUAUAAAUACAAAAUUAUUUGUUAGUAAAUUCGAAUAUGAAUAAGCAACGAAAGUUUGAAUAAACGUUUUAAAUGAAACAAAGUUCUCAAACUUACAACAAAAAAAUAUCUAUUAGUUACAUGCAUUAAAUAUCGUUGUAAAUGAGGAAUUUUUUUUAUGAAACUGUCAUAUGGCGUUACAAGCCGAUUCAUAUUUGUAGCACUUGCUUUAUUUAUUAAUUAUGUUUUGUGAAAGAGAAAUUCCAAGGAAACGUUCUUAAAGUGUGACUUUUUCUGAACUCUUUGCCGCAAUUUAACAUUAAUUCUUGUGCCAAUAAUAUAAAGUAUUAUGCAAAAAAUAUAAGGUGUUAGAGAGUUCAUCGAGAAUCCUAAUUUUGAACAAAUUUCCUUAACAUUUCUCUUUGUAAAAUAUAAUUCAUCGAUUAUCUAUACCAUAACACGUGAAACAACGAACUUAACUAAGAACAAAUGCAUGUAUGCACCAUACGUCAACUAUGAAGUCUAGCAACAUUACUUAGGGUUCUAAUAUAGCUCUUUUAACAUGUCAUUUCUCACAGAGUCACAGACAACCAUAACAAACAACAAACAAAGGCCAAAUUAUAUUAAUUGUACAAACGUUACUUAAUGGAACUUGAGGCUGGUCAAGAUGUUGUUGUGAACUGGGUCAGCCAAAUGAUCCAGAAGGUUCUGGUAAGGCCCCACACCAGUCACAAGACCCUGAAUAAAAUAACCCAAUAUUGCCAGCAUGGCAAGCCUCCCAUUCUUCACUUCCUUGAGCUUUAACUCGUUCAACGACUUUUCAUCUUUCCCAAACCCUAGCGGGUUGAACAAGGGCCCACCAGGGUAAGCCGGGUUCCCGGACCCACCCAAGUACUUCUCAAACCCCAAGAAGUAUUGCUUGCCCAUGGACCCGGGGUUGUACCAGUCCUGGAACCUCCGGUGCUCGGCGAACCCCAUUAGGGCAAGUUCAAAGACAAAGAGCGU
rnacentral:lncRNA from 1 species